rnacentral:lncRNA from 1 species
AGCCUAGUAUGGGCGGGUUACGCACAUACUGUCGGCACACUCACAACAAAACAAUCUCAAUCUAGAAUCUAACCUAAAGAUAGAGUUCCAGAUCCUAACUAGACAGUCGACUCCACAAGACUAACCAUAGUACCAGUAGUCCGGCCUAUAUGGCCUAAGACCCUUAGUACUAAUAACUAAACAAUAAUAUCAAUACUAAACAAAUAAAUCAAACCGUUACCCAGAUAGUCCAGCCUCCCGCUGAGAAACU